rnacentral:lncRNA from 1 species
ACAUGUUCAUCAACAAAAGAGGAAUUUCUAAACACAUGAAAUCAACGAAUCAAGUGGAUUUAGAGACAGAUUGGAACUCAACAGAGGAGUUGAAUUAGAUCGUGGUUUCAUUGGGAGAUUUGGGGAUGAGAUGCCUCAUGAAAUGCGAACCCCACGGCUAGGUUCGCGUGAUCUGAUCUCACGCUGGAUCUCGUGCAGGAAGGAGAGAGAGAGACAGAGAGAUUAAAAAGCGAGUGCUAAGGAGGUGAGAGACAGGACCGAUUGAAAUAGCUAAUGGCCUCGAUAUGACGAACCUUUGGUUAAGAGUCUUACGG